rnacentral:rRNA from 1 species
AUAAUAUUAUGAGUUUGAUCCUGGCUCAGAAUGAACGCUAGUAGUAUGCUUAACACAUGCAAGUUAAACGGAAUUUUUUCGUAGCGAACGGGUGAGGAAUGUGCAAAAUGCUACCUUUUAGUUUAGAACAACAAUAUAUAACUAUAUAUUAAAUACUAGAUUUUUAAAAGGUUAUAUUUUUAUAAUAUAUCCGCUAAAAGAUGGGUUUGUACAAGAUUAGGUAGUUGGUAAAUUUAACAGCUUACCAAGCCUUUGAUCUUUAGUUGAUCUUAGAGGGUGAUCAACCACAUUGGAACUGAAACAAGGUCCAGGCUGAAUUUACAGCCAGCAGUGAGGAAUAUUGGACAAUGAACGAAAGUUUGAUCCAGCGAUACUACGUGAAUGAAGACGGCUUUUUUGGUUGUAAAAUUCUUUCAUUAAGAAUGAUAAUGACAUUACUUAAAGAAGUUUAGUCCUGGCUAAUACUCGUGCCAGCAGCCGCGGUAAUACGGGAAGGGCAAGCGUUAUUCGGCAUGACUGGGCGUAAAGAGUUCGUAGAUUGUGAAGUAAGUUAUUUGUAAAAUUUUUAAGCUUAACUUGAAAUUAGCAUCUAAUACUGCUUUACUUGAGUUUUAUACAGAAGAAUAUAAUUUUAUACCGAAGGGUAAAAUCUAAAAAUAUAUAAAGGAGUAUCAGUUGCGAAGGCGAUUCUUUAGUAAAAACUGACGUUGAGGGACGAAAGUGUGGGUAGCAAACAGGAUUAGAUACCCUGGUAGUCCACACUGUAAAUUAUGAGUGCUGUAAUUUAAUGUAAAUAUUUUUUAUUUAUUUAGAUUUUUAAGCUAACGCUAUAAGCACUCCGCCUGAGGAGUACGAUCGCAAGGUUGGAACUCAAAGGAAUUGACGGGGGCUAAUACUAGUGGUGGAGCAUGUGGUUUAAUGCGAUAAUCCGCGCAAAACCUUACCAAUUCUUGACAUAAAAUUUCUUGAUUGAUUACAUUUAAUUGUAAUUAAUAAAUUAAAAUUUUUACAGGUGUUGCACGGCUGUCGUCAGCUCGUGUCGUGAGAUGUUUGGUUAAUUCCCUAAACGGGCGAAACUCUUGUUUUUAAUAUUUAUCUAUAAAAACUUUAAAAAAUCUGUUUUUUUAAUUUUUUAAAAACACUGUCAAUGAUAAGUUGAAGGAAGAUAGAACGAAGUCAAGUCAAUGUGACCCUUAUGAAUUGGGCUACACACGUGCUACAAUGAAAAUUACAAAAAGUAACAAAAAAUAUUUUUUUGUUAAUCUAGAAAAGUUUUCCUAGUUCGGAUUGUAAGCUGCAACUCGCUUAUAUGAAGUUGGAAUCACUAGUAAUCGCAAAUCAGCACGUUGCGGUGAAUAUGUUAAUUAGCCUUGUACACACCGCCCGUCACAUGCAGAAAGUUAGUUUUGCUUGAAGAUUUAACUUUGUUAAGUCCAUUGAAAAAUCAACGAUUUGGAUGAAGUCGUAACAAGGUAGCUGUACGGGAACGUGUAGCUGGAAAA